UGCCUGUGAAUCCUCAACUAUGGAAACCGAAACUAACACUCUGACAGCCUCACUUGCGUUUCCUAUGUAUCCAUUCCUCACUGUAACUUACCAUGGGCUAACAGAUUCAUGCAUUACGUGCACUGCCUAUAGGACCAUUCAUUUAUUGCCAUCAACCGGUAUAUAAACAGCGAAGCCAUUCUUGGUUGCGCUUUUCAUGACUUGAGUCCGUGGUAACGGGUGUGGUCAUCACGAACGGCUAUGCACCGGAGACACUGGGUAAAUCCUACCACUCACCACUGAUCCGCUGAAAAUGAAGCCGACAAUUAGACAAACAAACGCUAUCUGCCCAUAAAUCAGCGCCGCCUAUACCCUAACACUAUAAUUAUCUUAAACACUUAUGUUGCACAGAAAUUGCGUAAGUCGGAAUGCACACAAUUACCAUCCAAAAUGAAGAUUGAAGCAGUUGACCCAACCGAUUGCGCGCACUUUAUCAUAUUUUUACAGUCACGUGUCACUUUGUUAUUACAUAAGUGGUGGCUAUACUACCACCUCAAUGCUUAACCAAGAGUGUUUAUUCACGAUCAAAGAUACAAUGUCUAGAAACAUCUCGAAGUCAUAUUUCAAAACCUGGGACUUGCAAAACAUGGUAUCUCGUUAGCCUCCAGCUUCGCGGUUUUAUCGGUGUGUGCGAAGUGGAGCAGAUUGCAUUUAUUCACCACCAUAUUUUUAAGAUCACAGCUCUUUAGACAAGCACUCCUCCGUCGCCGUCGAAGCUCCCUGAGCCGGGCAAGUGCACUGAACAAAACGACAGGAGCUGGAAGAGGUCUUUCAUUACCUUUCGAAGGAAGAAGAAGAGCUAAUCAGAAAAGAGAGGGAAGAAGAAGAGAAGAGAGAGAUGGAAAGAAAAGAGGAAGAAGAAAGGGAGAAGGAAAGAGACCGAGAGAGGGCAGAGUUGGCAGCGAGAGUAGCGGAACUUGAUAGAGAAAGGGCGGCACUCCACAGUGUGGUAAAUCAAAUGAACUCGAACCAGCGGGGAGACCCUGCCGCUCGUUUCUUCGGAGGCGUCACGAUGAGUCUACUGACACCUCUGGUAGCAAUAUUUUAUCCUCCCGCUCUUCAGUCUUGGUCCGACGCAAUAGGAGAAAUGUUUAGGCCGUGAAGGGCGCCAGACACCAGCCACACAACAGGAAGAGCGCAUGUGAAAUGAAGUCGUGGUUGUAUAACAUA